ACUCCUACGGGAGGCAGCAGUAGGGAAUCUUCCACAAUGGGCGCAAGCCUGAUGGAGCAACACCGCGUGAGUGAAGAAGGGUUUCGGCUCGUAAAGCUCUGUUGUUAAAGAAGAACACGUAUGAGAGUAACUGUUCAUACGUUGACGGUAUUUAACCAGAAAGUCACGGCUAACUACGUGCCAGCAGCCGCGGUAAUACGUAGGUGGCAAGCGUUAUCCGGAUUUAUUGGGGCGUAAAGAGAGUGCAGGCGGUUUUCUAAGUCUGAUGUGAAAGCCUUCGGCUUAACCGGAGAAGUGCAUCGGAAACUGGAUAACUUGAGUGCAGAAGAGGGUAGUGGAACUCCAUGUGUAGCGGUGGAAUGCGUAGAUAUAUGGAAGAAUACCAGUGGCGAAGGCGGCUACCUGGUCUGCAAACUGACGCUGAGACUCGAAAGCAU
rnacentral:rRNA from 1 species